rnacentral:lncRNA from 1 species
UAUCUUCUUCAAUGAAAAUUAGACUUCUAUUUCCCAUUGUUCCCUUCCUUCUGCUUCACCUGUGUCUUACUCUUAGCAUUCUGGGUCUUGCCAGAACACCCCUUUUGGCUUCAGGUGAGAUGAAGUUCUACUUGAAAUCAACUAUGGAGCUAAUAAGGGCUCUAUUGCUGAUGGAAUCCAACAAUUAGAGUGGGCCUAAGCGUUCCCUCUGAGAAAUAGAAAACGCCUGUAAGGUAAUCAGAGAUGUUUAAUAUUUAAAAGUGUAUCACGUGUUUUUAGUACACCAGGAUAACAAAGAUGUUCUUCAUGAGGAAAAGAGUUUGAAGGGAACAGAAACUUUUAGGAAAAUUUGGAGAGCAAGAAAACUCUGAACUGCAUCAGGAAGGAACGGAAAAGGGAAAAGUUGGACUACCGUCUGUUUACACUCUGUUCAGUGUUCUAUAUAGUUCAGGAGAUUCAGUGUCUAACCCUGAAAUGUGAUAUUGCUGCCUGGAAGAGGGAGACAACUGAAAUAUUCUACCUCAUAGCAUGCGUCAGGGGCACAGGUCAGUCUUUGUGCUGUUUUUGUAAACUCUCUACAUUGGACUAAUGUCCAUAGUCACACUCUAUCUGAGUGCCAAUUUCUCAGUUUUUAGAAGACUCCCUUUAUGAAUACUCAGUAGAUAGCCAGAAGUCAGCAAAACCCAAGAAAACUGAGCUUAGAAAUGUGCCAAAUAUUCGUAGAAGUUUGCCAAGUUUCUUGAGAAAUCCCAGACAUUUCUGUGUUGGGAAUUUUCUAGAAAACAGUUAUACCUUGCUAUCUGCAGUUCUCAGGCAACACUAACGCAAAACCCACAAGAGAGUUCAUACAGCCUUUCAAACAGGAAAGACUGCCCAGGUGCUGGCAGAGCUGCUAUAUUCUGUCCACUCAUGCAAUUGGCAAAACUGUAAUGUUAGCAGACAUAGUGACAUUGAAUAAAGUUACAUUAGAUUCAGGCUCACCUUCUCAGUUCCACUAGUCAGAUUUCAAGGGCCACAUGUGGCAUGAUUACCACAUUAAUGGCAGAUUAGAAACUAUUUCUGUCAUCACAAAAAGUUCUAUUGAAAAUCUCUGGUAGAGAAGAUGUAGCUGGUCUUUUGUAGCUUAUAAAUCCCUAGUCCCUGCCCACACACCAUCUGUGUUAGUUAGAAUAACAAGCAUGGACGCCUGGACCAGAACAGUUACCCUUGUAUGCAGAUCACAAUAAUGAGGGUGGCAUUUGAAAUGAAAUGGGGUUAGGAGUGGGGGACUGGCUGAAUCCAGUGUUCACCCACCAACAGAUGAAGCCAGAAACACAAUGGAAAACCCUGAUAAAGAAUUGUGGGCUGAAGAGAGCUGGCAGACAGAUGGCACUCAGGCUUCUCGUUCCCCAAACUCCCACUUGGUUAUACUUCUGGACAGGACAGUUCUCUGUUCAUAAAUCCUUUACUGUUUACCCAUGCAGAAUUUUCUGCCCAGAAUCUAGAACCCAGUGAAUGUUCUGAGGGCAGAAUCCAGAAGUAUCCAGGGAAAUCAACAGCAUGAAUUUACCUUUCUAGCAGGUCUACUAAGAAUAAGCCAGCCAGAAUAACUAUAGACCUCUACUUGAGAACAAGGUGUUCCCGAGGUCAAGUAAAAUAUCUAGCUUGCCUAAAUCCAUUUGUCUGUUGGAAACAGUUGAUCUGAAGUUGUUGGGUUUAUGUUUCUUGAGUUUAAGGAGGUUCAGAUUAGGAAAGAGAGAAGAGGGGGCGCACCACGGGAUGCAAUACAAAUGGAAGAAACCCUGCAUGCUGUUCCUCCACCAGCACUAUAGUUUUUCCCAGUCUAUUUGGAUCGAAAGAGGCCAGUCAUCUCUGGGAUCUCUGGGAUUUUCUGCAGUGCAUCAUAAGGAACAGCCUUAGGUACAUUUGAUCAUUUCAGUCUUUCAGCCAACUUAUAGAGUAGGGGAUAUUAUUAUUCCCAUUUUACAGUCUGAAUUAGAGACAUGAAGAGUAGAAAUGCCCAGGACCACACACCUUACAGGUUACAGCAAUGGACUCUGCCCUCAGGAAUGAACAGUUCAGCAUCUUUAUGCUUCACCAGCUUUCUUCACCUGUAACCCAGCUGGAGAAUGACAAGCUAAUUGGAUGUAAAAGAUGGUUUUCAGGUGAAGGCACAUUAUAAAGAAGACAUAAAUCAUGCUUUGAUUGUGGCUGGAGCUGGUGUGCCUAUUGAAACCAA